AUUUAUAUAAUAUAAUUAGUAUGUUUGACUUCCAAUCAAAAAGUUUAAAAUUUUUAAUAUAAAUA
rnacentral:tRNA from 1 species